rnacentral:sRNA from 6 species
GGCGAAACAUGGGAAGGCAGGAUGAGAACCUAUAGGUUCGACCCGAGCACAGCGUGCGAGGGAACGGCGAAGCAAUGCGACGCCGGCCCCGAAGGGGUGAGGCACGAAGUGCCGAAUAAUCCUGCUGCCCCAACCA